GCUGGAGCAGUAAACACAUUUCAUUCUCUCUUGGCAAUAGGAGUAUGUGCUUCAGGAAUUGUUGAGCUCUAGGGACCCAAUCCCCAGAAACAAAUUCCCAAGCCUCAACCAUUCUGGAUCAUAGUGCCUUGGAGGCUGUCUUCUGGAAGCCAAGUCUUUCACCUUUGCAACUUUGAGGCUACAAAAGGAAAAGAGUGAAGAGAGAAGAUAAGAAAGAAAGCAAGGGAAAGGAAGGGCAGAAAUGAGAAGGAGAGCUCAGCAGAGAGAGAGUCAUCAUCUUUAUGCCACAUUGUGAAUUUGCAUAUGGAAAAAGGAAUUUGGGGCAGGAGACAAACAGCAGGAACAAACAAGCUAUUAGCACAGAGGAAUCCCAUUUUCAGGCAAAGGACCUUGCUAAUGAAAAAGACACUGGAAUGCCAACAAUAACUUAAAUAGAAUCCUCCAAAAAUCCACUCUAAAUUUGACUUUUUAUAUAAAGACUUCUUUGCAUU